rnacentral:lncRNA from 1 species
CAGCAGAAUCAUUAUUGCUGCUUUCAUUGUUAUUGAAUAAAGUGAAUACAGACAUGUUUGCCGAAUUCCCAGUAUUUAUUGCAAUUUCAGUAGAGCUAUCACAAUGUUCAUUUGUAAAAUAUCUGAUGCUGCAAACUGAUGAUCUUGGAAAAUUUGUCUGUUAACAGGCCAAAUAUCAUGUGCACGGAAAGUGUGGGUUGCUUACCCAAUGUCUUCACUUCAUUUCCAACAGCAUUUUUUCUAUCAGCAUAUCUCUUAAUAGUUGCUUUGGUAGAUUAUAAAUAUGGCUAUACUCAUUCAGACCAGUAUCAGCAUUCCUAUAAACUGCAACAGCCAUUAAUAAAUCUCUUUUGGACCAAUAUCUGUGAUGUCCUCUUUUAGCUAUAAGUCCCCUAUAAAAAAAUAAAAUUUAAUUCGGAGUUAUAUUUAUAUAUUGCCUAAAUUAGUUUGGUCCAAUUGAGGCAACCAUAAUAUGGUCCAACCUGAGUGCAUCUGGCAGAUAUGUCAAAACAUGCUACAUAACACUAAUGUUAACUAAUAAUAAUGAAACUAUUACAGUAAUUUGAAUAAAAAUAAAUUAGCAUUCUGAAGAAAUAAUAUCAUUUGUUCGUACUUACUUAAAGCUGACUGAGACACAACUUACAUGUUUUUUAAAUUAUUUGAUUUACAGCUGUCUAAAUACAAAAUCUCUUCUAUAACUUCUCUCACAUGUAGUUCUUUAAUACUAAUGAAUGCAGCAUCAUGAUUUAUAUAAAUGUUCAGUGUGUGACCAAU